rnacentral:rRNA from 1 species
CAGUCGCCGCGGUAAUACGGAGGGAGCUAGCGUUGUUCGGAAUUAUUGGGCGUAAAGCGCGCGUAGGCGGUUACUCAAGUCAGAGGUGAAAGCCCGGGGCUCAACCCCGGAACUGCCUUUGAAACUAGGUGACUAGAAUCUUGGAGAGGUCAGUGGAAUUCCGAGUGUAGUGGUGAAAUUCGUAGAUAUUGGAUGGAACACCGGUGGCGAAAGCGGCUCUCUGGCCCGGAUCUGACGCUGAGGCGCGAAAGCGUGGGGAGCAAACAGGAUUAGAGACCCGUGUAGUCCCUGUCUCUUAUAC